rnacentral:rRNA from 1 species
CUACGGGGGGCUGCAGUGAGGAAUAUUGGUCAAUGGGCGAAAGCCUGAACCAGCCAUGCCGCGUGAAGGAUGACGGCCCUAUGGGUUGUAAACUUCUUUUAUACGGGAAGAAACACCUCUACGUGUAGAGGUUUGACGGUACCGUACGAAUAAGCAUCGGCUAACUCCGUGCCAGCAGCCGCGGUAAUACGGAGGAUGCAAGCGUUAUCCGGAUUUAUUGGGUUUAAAGGGUACGUAGGCGGAAACUUAAGUCAGUAGUGAAAUCCCGCAGCUUAACUGUGGAACUGUUAUUGAUACUGGGUUUCUUGAAUAUUGUUGAGGUAGGCGGAAUAAGUAAUGUAGCGGUGAAAUGCUUAGAUAUUACUUAGAACAACGAUUGCGAAGGCAGCUUACUAAGCAAUUAUUGACGCUAAGGUACGAAAGCGUGGGGAGCGAACAGGAUUAGAUACCCGAGUAGUC